rnacentral:rRNA from 1 species
GACGAACGCUGGCGGCAUGCCUAACACAUGCAAGUCGAACGGUAAGGCCCUUCGGGGUACUCGAGUGGCGGACGGCUGAGUAACGCGUGGGAACGUGCCCCAAAGUGAGGGAUAACGCACCGAAAGGUGUGCUAAUACCGCAUAUGGUCUUCGGAUUAAAGCUUCGGCGCUUUGGGAGCGGCCGCGUACGAUUAGAUAGUUGGUGAGGUAAUGGCUCACCAAGUCGACGAUCGUUAGCUGGUCUGAGAGGAUGAUCAGCCAGACUGGGACUGAGACACGGCCCAGACUCCUACGGGAGGCAGCAGUAAGGAAUCUUCCACAAUGGGGGCAACCCUGAUGGAGCAACGCCGCGUGCAGGAUGAAGGCUUUCGGAUCGUAAACUGCUUUUAUAAGUGAAGAAUAUGACGGUAACUUAUGAAUAAGGAUCGGCUAACUACGUGCCAGCAGCCGCCGUAA